AUAUGUGUGUGUAUGUAUAGAUAAUAUAUGCAGACACAUAUAUACAGAUAUAUAAAAUGCUUCAGUACACUUUUUUUUGAAAGACAGUGGGGAAGGAAUGUCAGAAGAGAUGAAAGAGCUUGAACGACUACGGAUGCAUAAGAAGAGCAGAGAGAAGGGCACGGAUUUGGGGUAGGAACACUGACCUAUGGGGGCGGAGUUAACCAUGCAGAGAAGACCCCACCUUGCUCCCCGGGCUCCUGGAACCACCCUCCUUCUCACCCUCCCUCUGCUGCAGUUUCCUCUGGAAGCCAGCAGGUGAAAGUGGAUGUAAUUCCGUGUGAAUAGAGGAAAUCUAGGGAACCCAGAGCUGCGUUCUCCGCCUUCUCCGUGCAGUGCCUGAUGCCCCACUGAUCUCGGUCCGCUCGUCUUCCCUUCAUCCUCACCAACCUCGUCUGGACGCGCAAGCCCCACGUGCUGUAGUUCAUUACUCCCCAUUCAGAGAGCCAGGUUUACCCAAGCCUCUUAAACUGCAGUGUGACUGGUGCAAUACACACACCUCGACCAGUCUUCAAGAAUGUGGUGGUGGUGUUCUUGUUCUUGUUCUUGUUCUUGUUCUUGUUUAGUCAGUGCUAAAUCUGUUAGCAAUGGCUGAAGUGUUUUGGGAGCCAGGCCUCCAGUGGGAUUGCGGCGUUCCUCGGAAGGGCCCGUAUCGUCUCUGUUCGGAGCGGUGAAAAGCCAUGUAAAUGCUUUGCAGUUAUGCAAUCUUUUUUGAUAAUACUAUCAACUAUAAAAUGCCAAAACACUCUGGAGCACUGUCUGUUUUGCUAACGGGGUGUCGUUCAGAGAUUUUAAACGUGCUGAUCUCCAACACAUUCAUGCGCGACUGAUCCGGUUUCUUGCGGCUGGACCCUGUCAGAAUCACUCUUUUUUGUUUCAAACUUCUUGGUUGCUCUGUUAUUGUGUUGAGUUUCACUCUGUAAAGGAUUCUCUUGUUUUUAAAGCAUGCUGUUUCUGUUUGGAGGUUAAUGCGAUGGUAAAGGGGAGAUGGGUGAUGUGUUUCUCAGAGAACAUUCUUAUGCAGUGUUAAAUUUCAAGGGUUUUUGUUGUUGAUUUUGUUUUGUUUUCUUCCUCUCAUUAUUCUUUGCAGAUAUUACCAUAGUAAUGCAUUAACCGCUUGCUUGCUGCACAGACACACACUUCACACCAGGAAAGAGCACGUGGUUAUUUAGUUCACACAAAACUGACAUGUGAUGAUAACACACAGCCAAUUUAAUCUUUCACACACUUUUGUGUUUAUUCUCUUUUAUUUUGAGACUUUUUUUGUGAAAAUGUAUUAGUAACAUUCAGUAAUUAUUUUCUAGCUAAUUUGACAAAGUGAAAAGGCGUUUUUUUGUUUUGUUUUGUUUUACUUUGUCUUAUACACAAAAACAAACAAACAAGUCUAAAUCCACUGUGCGUCUUUAAACUGGUGUGGAGAAAUGUACAGCUUUGACAAUAUUUCAUUAUAACAUUGUAUUCCGCCAUUGCUGUUCGCAAACAUCGCUCAUGAAUACAGUACUGGAAGUGAGUAUGUUUCUCUAUGCAAAAAAGUAUAAAAAAUAAUAAACAAAGCUAUGCUACAACUCAGAAAA